GUCGCGGGGCACCGAGGCGGCUCGGCAGUGCUGUGGCGCCCGCGCGGCCAGCCGUGGUCGAAGCUCGACGCGGCGAGGGCAGCGUCGCGGCUGGCCACGGCUCGGCGAAGGUGGCUUCUGGGCGUCAUGUCAGCCGUCGAGGCAAGGGCGCCGUCGUCUCGGGCUCUCGGUGGCGCAGUGGGUGCUCGUCGCGGACAACUCAAGCGCCUGCGUCCCGGUGCGGCCGUGGCAUCCGCGUGGCCGUCCGCGGUCGCGAGUCCGCACGACGCCGCGGUCGCGGAGGACGCCGGGGCCUCGGUGGCGUCCAGGCUUGACGUGAAGGCGUUGUCGCGGCGCCGGUCAUGGAGGACAAGGCGGAGGGCGGCGGCGCUGGGUGGAGGGAACAGAGGACUGCGGCGGCGCCACUAGGGAAGAGCUCGAGGGCGUGGCGGCGGCUGGGCUCUUUAUAGGCGUCGAGGCUAGGGCUUCAGAGUGGAGGCGUUCAUCCUCGGCGUCCGUGUCCGCAGCGGGACACGCGGCGGGAAUCCUGGGCUGGCGCGGACAGGGACAGGAGGGGCGCUGGCGCUCGUGGCCUUUCCACCGAGCGGUGGCGGUGGCGGCUCUACCUGGGAGCGGCGCGGUUCCUAGGGUUGGGGAGAAGGGGGCGCUGCCUCCCUCAUGGGCCACGGCCUGGGCCUUGGCGACUUGGGCCGUAGGUGAAGGGGGACGAGUGAGCUGGGGGCAAGACGCGCUGGCGGGCCGUGGUGCUGCGUCGCUGGGCCUUGCGCGCGAAAGGGCCAAGCAUGGAGGAGGGAGGGCGCUGGUCGCGUGGGCCAAAGGGAGAAAAGAAAAGAAAAAAAAGGGUAGGAGGGGAGUAGGAAAUGGAUUUUGGCCCGAAAGAGAAGGAUUUUCCAUUUACGAACUUGACUCAAGGGCUUUGAGAGAGAAAUUUAAAAAGGGGAAAGAAUCGAGGGGGAUUCGAGAGAGAACUCAAAAAGAGAUUAAGAUGAGUUGCCAUGAAUUCAAGAUGGAUUUAGCGGUAGGGAUUUAGAGAGGAGGUCGACAAGAGAAAAGGUUUGAGAAGGGAAUUUCGGGGAGAGUUCGGAAAGAAUUCAAGGAAGUUGAGAAGGGAUUCGCUUCGCCUUUGAGAUAGGCUCAAAGAAAAUUUGAGAAGACUUCGCUAGGGAUUUAUGCACUCCAAAAGAAACUCAAAACCCUAAACAAGACCCAACUUAAGACGACUCACGAACAAAAUCACUCGCCUACAAACAAAUCUACAUGUAUGCCACGAUUUGUUAGCGGGUUAGGAUCGAGUUAGACCUGAAAACUAUAUGCUUCACACGGUUACAUGAAAAAUUUUAAAAAGCUCGUAUUUUUGGUUUUUUUUUUUGUAAAAAUCCGGGAUGUUACAGUCCACCCACCUUACAGGAAUCUCGUCCCCGAGAUUUAGGCGUUGCUCGGUCGGUGAAGAGACGAGGGUGUCGUUCUCAAAGCCUUUCUUACUUCUGAGUUGUUUCACUUUCAAUGUGAUCGCUCCACAAACUUUUUCCAAAAUGGGAGUGACUCUUGUUCCAAGUGUAUGCAAGGCUCACUUGCAGUCGUUGGGCAUCCAAAUUUUCACAUCAGGGCGAUGGGUGUCCAAGAAUCGCACGGGGUUGAUGAACAUCUGGCUCUCAAAGAGUGCAUGGCAGGCUUAAACGUAGCUAGGGUUGUUGGCUUUCAAUAGCUGUUUUUCGUGCAUCACUCUUUGCAAAAAGCUUUUGAAAGGAAUGUUUUUCGGAAAAACAGGUUUCAUAAAUGGAGUGAAAGCGAUUUUACAAAGUCAAAUGGAUUUUAAAGAGAGCUCAAACUGAAAAUAGCUUAUGGAAAGGGUUGAAAUCAGCGCAAAUUUUGAAAACCAAGUUUAUUUAUUUUAUUAUAAUUAUUAUUUUAAGAUUUUUGAUGUAAAAGAUUUCAAAUCAAGAGACUUUGAAACUCUUUUAGUUUUCUAGAUGAGGCGUUGCUCUCUUUUAUUUGAACUAAACAAACUAGUUUUGAAAAUGAUUAGAAAUCAUUUCUCUCUUUUGAAAGAUAAAGCUUUAACAACAAUAACAUUUUCUUUCAAAACUUGUAAGUUCAUUUUGUUUUUGCUAAUUUUUUUUUUGGAAGGCCGCAAACAAAAUUCUUUUCGCAAUGGUUUUUGUUUAAUAAAACACUGAAAAUUCCUUUUUCUUUUAGGACAAGGUGGAUUUUUAAAAGGAAUUUGGCUCUCGAGAUAAAAUCAAAGGUCUUUACAACAAAACUGAGCCAAAGAUCUUUGAUCUAAAAACCAUUUUGUUGAUGAAAAAGCAAGACUUUUGUUUUUCAGAAGAUGGUUGGUAACACCUUUUGAAAGAUAACUUAUUUUUAAAUAGUUUCAUAAAUAGAGUUUGGAUAAAAUUGAGUUGAGAAAAGGGUUAAAAUGGCUCUCUUUGUGAAAAUGAAAGAUAUUAAGAGAGUUUUGAAACACUUUUCCUUUUGAAACAAGGAUGCUUUUGUUAGAGAGGGGACAUUUUAACCAAAAGGAGAGAAAAUUUUGAAGACAGGUUCAUUUUGGAAGCCAAAAACAGUUUUGAAAUAGGCGAGCAUCACAUGAUGCAACAGCUUUACCUAACUUUUAACUUUGUUAGUCAGGGCCACCUAUCUAGUCUCGGGACGGUCUUAGGUUUAGCCGACUAGGUUGGACGGAAUCCAGAGUUUUUCUCGCAUAAAACAGGUUCUAUGACUUACACCCAGACAACAAGAAGCAGAAGAAACGCAACAACAUAAGAUCCAAGCACUCAAACAGCAUUACAACUCCUAAUGCAUAGUGUUGACUUGAGGCGACUCACAGACCUUCAAAGUCUCACACAACUAUCGAUCUAGCGUGGGCGGGUAUGGGAAAAGAUUCCAACGGUCAACUUUAUGAAACAGGGAGGUCAGUUAGCAGCAGAAUUCAAGGCGGAGGGGGGAAAACAAGUGUUAGCAUCUAUAACUCUACAAAAGAUAGAAUGUUUGGCUUCUAAACUAGUGUUUGGUCCUAAAGGUCUCGUCCUAGGGUCAAGUAUGGCUCUGAUACCAACUGAAACGACCUAGAUUUUUCCACAAAGGGGAAAAAUCCUCAGAUUCGAAUUAUAAUGUGAUAAUUCAGAUAUUGAGCCAUCACAUUAUCAUAUAUCAGCUGUUAUCGCAGUCAUACAUCGUGAAAAAGAAGAUUACAUCACAUUUACUUUACAACUCUUAGUUAACAAGCCUAUUACAUCGUUUUACUAGCGGAAACACACACGAAUCUUUUUCAGAGUCGAUGUAGCGCGUCAGCAGUGAGGGCUCCUCCUUCACGGGCAAUCAUCAGAGUCGGCGUAGUUUAUCAGCGGGCGUAGCCUUCAUCUCCGAACCAAACUUGAGCGCAGGAACGAGACCACCUAAUCCUUCUAUUCUCCGUAGUUAUCAUCAUAGACCACAUCCAAAACCUGCUAAACAAUUUUCAGUACGAUUUGUACUGGCCACUGGCUCCCACCCUAUGCUUUUGCUUAAGCUUUGUGGUAAGUGGAAUGCAAAGGGUAGAUCAAGAGGCCUAUAUAUAUGGCUGUAGUCUUUCCUAUGCAAGUUCAUCAAUAUUUAAUAAUAAUAUUUCAUCAAGUUUUAUUCCAUCUCAUCCACACAUCCAUCCAUCCAUCCCAUCACACACAUCUCACCACACUCUCACUCUCUAGGCGGCAAGUACGACUCCCGCUCGUGCCUUGCCUCAACGGCCAACGCCGGAUCCAACACAAACCCAGGGGAAGGUAGAAAGGACUCCUCUCACUAGUCAAGCGAAGCGGAACAUAGGAAAGGUCCAUAGCCGAGAAGACGGCAUAUGUAUCGAUCGAUCAACCAAACUCUGCAGAGGUUUACACUAACCACAAGAUCACCAUCAUCGACGAACCGGCUCGUCUAGGCUGAUACCGGGCUGCCUUCCAACUAAAUACGAUGCCACCCUACCACUCAGGACUGGGGCCAUACCGGAGUACCACCGGCAUGCUGAGACUGUGAGGCGUAGUACCGGGCCCCCAAGGGUCACUACGCUGUCUUAGGAGGGUGUGGGUCCUCAUGCCCGUACCUCCCUACACUAUCCGCUAUCAACCUAGUAGUAGUGGCACCGCACUAGCUGGUCGUACAUCCGUCCCGCACCAUAAUAAGGCGAGUGGCGUGUAAGGCUUCCUACGAACCGGUUCUCAGAACAUCUCAGUCCUUAGGGUAACCGAACAGGACAUCUUCACGAGGGGCCAGCCGAUGCCCCUCUCGACGGGACACCCGGCUACCCCGUGCUAAACAGCACCUCCCAUCCCGGUGCUUCGUCCCACGAAGACACUCCACUCCGGGACCUCUCCCUGUCACAUGUACCCGCCACAGGUAUCUCUCAUGGAGAACGCCCAGGUAGCGUUCCCCGGCAAGACUUGUCCCAAGACUCGUCGUAAAUCCUGCUCGGUCGACUCAACCCUCACCACACACCCAAGACACACGCCAAGAUCUCCCCAUAUCCAUUAUCCAUUUCUUAACCAGUUAUCGGCACACGUGCCUUAUCCACUCACAUCCAAUCCUCCACAAUGCAUCACAUCACAGAUAUAAUGCGUAGUAGAAGCAGUAGCAAGUAGUAUGCAAGCAUCUAACCUAACAGCGGGUGUGCGAGGGUUAUAGGUUGCAACAAGGCAAUGGCUCACAAGCAUUUCUACCAUGCAACCUAUCAUAGUUCAUUUGCAUAAAAGUAAAGCACUAGCAUCUAUAAUAUUGCAUGUCUAAUAGGAUUCUACGAGGUUGGGUGGGACGUGGCACCUGUCGAGUGACAUUUCCAGGAUCCUCAGUUCACUUGUAGUUGUACUCAUCCAAGGUCUUUCUCCUAUCUGCAUGUCCUUCCUUCGACUGGUUCCGAUUCGAUCAUCGCUAACCGAAGCAACUACCUCGUAAACGACAAUCAAGGCGAAACAAUCAAACCACUAGACCUAGAAAGAUCAUGAUAAGAGGCGACAAAACACUGAAGAACAACUACACUAAAAGAGCACCGAAAGGAAAACAACUUAGCCCUCUCGGCGGAUGUCCGAUCCCUGGGCUAAAAGAAACGGGAAUGGUUGUUCACUAAGUACAAGCCAGAGUCUUAGCCUAGCCGGUACUUCCCGGGUUAACUGAGUCAACCUGUACGGCUUUAUUAAAUGGCUUAGACUCUAACUCAUUCUAAGCAAACACCACAACUUACAGUCUUUCGAUCCAAGUGUCAUAGAGAUCGACAGGAAUCGAAAAGGCUAUGAGCACGGGAAGUUCCGGUCUCUCUCAAUCCAUACGCCAUUGUAGUUGGCGAGAGCCAAGAGAGGGUGGAACAAGGAGAGAAGAAAAAGGGAAGUGGUCUACUCCUUCCAAUCCACUUGCCAUGGUAAUAGACGGGGUAAUCAGAAAGAGUGACAUACAAGAACACGAGUGCUCAAACUACUUGUAGGGUACCACAACCUAGGUACACUGAAUGCACUAAGACAUCCCUAGGGUUCUUAGCAGUGCGGUUGUCACCACGAGAACCAAAGAAAUGCUACGGUCGAAUAGGUACAAGCAUACAAGAGUUUAAACACAAAGAACCAAAAAGGCGGGAAAAGACACGGGUUUCACUUCCUAUUGAUCCACUUGCCAUAGCAACAGCGGGAAUCGUAGAAAUGGAAUCAAAACACCAAACAAACAAAAGGGCUCAAUCCACAUAUUACUGGAUCUACAGGGAUUGAGAACAAGAGAGAAGAGGAAUGGAGUCCAUACUGUUUCGACCAACUCAUCAUGGAAUGAACGACGGUUGGAUGAAAGAGAUACGACCCCACGAUCCAACCCUACUCGUAGGGUACCACGACUGUGCAUCUAAUCAGCACACGGCUAUUCCUAAGGCCCGUAGCGAUGCGGUUGUCACCGCUAGGUCCGAGGGAAUGCUAUAGUCGAAGUGGUGCAAGCAUACGAGGUGGUUAGGAUAAACACGCGAGAAAUGGGGUAAAGCCGGAUGGUCAUGGCAAGGUGGACUUGCGACCAUUAGCUUCACCCAACGAGUUGGCUUCUGACUGUUCUACAAGGGUUGCUCCUAAUCUGUAUCCCACUAGACUAGAUCACAGAGAACUCGAAGGUGCGGGUAAGAACCGCGUCGUUAUGAAUAUCGAGUCCGCAAAGAUCAAACCCCAGGGACGAGGAUAGGAGCUAACAAGCGUAGCGUGACGAAGUCAACUAAACACGGGGAGACGAGUUACGCUCGGCAUCGCGAUCACGGCGGGACGAACCCACGAUCGAAAUGAUCAAACGCACUACCACUUCCCCGACCGGCUCGAAGGCUCAGUCCUCAGGCAAAUAACAAAAGAAAGAACGACGACAACCCGAGAAGGGAUAUGCUUGGCACUACGACCAUGGCGAGACAACUCGCGAUCGCAACAUUCAAACACAUCACUCUCUCAACCGGCUCGAAGGCACGGUUCACAACCAACCAACCACAUGACACAAGAACCAACGCACAAAGAACCACAAUGCCGCGACCAACACAAAGACAAAGUAGAGUAGCACAUUUCCAUAGCGACCAACAGAGAUAGAUAAACGGAUAGAUAAACAGACCGGCACGAAGGCACGGCACAGGCAUAGAAUAAAUAAUUCAUGUAUCGACAAGUAUAGAUAGAUGGAUAAAGAUGAAUCAUAUAGCAAGUGUAUGAAAGCAGAAUAGGGUUUUUGUUGGCAUCGGGAAUGACGCCAACUAGGGUUCGGGGCUCGACCUUGGAGCCGAUGGGCUGUGGUAGCAGCUGUUGUUCUUCGGAUGCAGCGAAGUGGUGGUCAUGCUUGGUCGCGCGGCUUCGUCAUUGGCCGGUGCUCGGCAAGGUGUUGCAAAGGCGAUCAGCGGUGCUGCGAGGUUCCACUCAUGGUAGCUCUAGCGUUGCGGCUUCCAUGGGAAGGUGCAGCAGGUCCGAGGCCUCCCUGUGACAGUGGUUGAACACGGCACCCAGGCCGACUGUUAGCCAAGAACCACGGUAUGGUCUUCAGAACGGAAAGAAAGGUAUGGCCUUGGCUUGAGAGCUCACCGAUGACAGAGAAGGGCUUGGCGAGGACGAGGCGAGCACGGCACUGACGAGGGGAACUGGUGGGGGCGCUGCUCGACGUCGUGGCCGCAGGGGUGGUGCUUGGCGCUCGGGUUCGCGGUCACCACGGGGUUGCUGGGUCACGACCAGCGCUGCGGACGACGGUGUCGUGGAGGAGGGCUCGGAGCAGAACUCGGUGAGGACGCAGCGUCGCGGGGUCGGGGCUCCUGCUCGGCGAGGGCGCGGAGAUCCUACUCGACGUCGAGGUAGAGGCGCGGCUUGACGGCGGCGGGUGCGCGGGGUGGUGCCGAGGACGAGGCGUGUCGCGGACACGGCGUCGCGACGGCGGUGCGCGGGGACAGGGCUCGGCGCGGCGGGGCGUCCGCGCGGCCGGCCAGGUCGGAGACGCGGACACGGAGAGGCUCCGUGCUCGCGGUGCUGGCCGAAGACGGGGCUCGGGGAAGAGCUCGCGGUUGUGCGUCGUGACGCGGCCACGGCGAGGUUGGUGUCGCAGCCUCGGCCCUUGGCGAAGGACCUCGACGUCGGGGUCGCGGGUGCGGCUCGGCGGUGCUCGGCGGCGUCGUGGCCCGGGGCGGGGUUGACGCGAGGGCGCGGAGCUCCUGAUGGGGCGCCGAGGUCCUGGCCGCGGCCGAGGCUCGUAAAGACGAGGUCGUCGCGGGGCACCGAGGCGGCUCGGCAGUGCUGUGGCGCCCGCGCGGCCAGCCGUGGUCGAAGCUCGACGCGGCGAGGGCAGCGUCGCGGCUGGCCACGGCUCGGCGAAGGUGGCUUCUGGGCGUCAUGUCAGCCGUCGAGGCAAGGGCGCCGUCGUCUCGGGCUCUCGGUGGCGCAGUGGGUGCUUGUCGCGGACAACUCAAGCGCCUGCGUCCCGGUGCGGCCGUGGCAUCCGCGUGGCCGUCCGCGGUCGCGAGUCCGCACGACGCCGCGGUCGCGGAGGACGCCGGGGCCUCGGUGGCGUCCAGGCUUGACGUGAAGGCGUUGUCGCGGCGCCGGUCAUGGAGGACAAGGCGGAGGGCGGUGGCGCUGGGUGGAGGGAACAGAGGACUGCGGCGGCGCCACUAGGGAAGAGCUCGAGGGCGUGGCGGCGGCUGGGCUCUUUAUAGGCGUCGAGGCUAGGGCUUCAGAGUGGAGGCGUUCAUCCUCGGCGUCCGUGUCCGCAGCGGGACACGCGGCGGGAAUCCUGGGCUGGCGCGGACAGGGACAGGAGGGGCGCUGGCGCUCGUGGCCUUUCCACCGAGCGGCGGCGGUGGCGGCUCUACCUGGGAGCGGCGCGGUUCCUAGGGUUGGGGAGAAGGGGGCGCUGCCUCCCUCAUGGGCCACGGCCUGGGCCUUGGCGACUUGGGCCGUAG
rnacentral:lncRNA from 1 species